AGAAUAUGCUCCAAAUCCAUGACACAGUAAAAUUCCUCUAUAAAACAAGAUUUAGGGUGUGUUCUUUUAAAUUAAAGUGCUCUGUUUACCUGACUAGCUAUUUCAAAGCUCUAGCUUCUUUUUGUUGCCUGUUUUUUAGCAUUAUGCUCUUUUGUUUUACCUUAAGACUCUAUAUUGCAUGUCUUAUUUGAAAUAUCUAAAGUUUAAAAUGCAGCCUCAUAAUGUAUCUAUUUGCUUAAUUUAAAACAUUUAAGCAAAAGUAAUAGGUUCUGCUUCUUAGCUAUUGAUGGGAUAAAGAACACAAGGACAGGUGGGGAGAGAAGAGCUUCUUGGAAGAAAGAUCAGAUCCUACUUCUCAAGAUUUCAGUCCUCAAACCUAGAAAACCAGAACUGGUGAAGAGGAAAUAAUAAAGGGGGUCAUACAACUGAUCCCCUCUCCCCAGAAAGCAAAACACAUAGGUCUGUCCUACAUGUCCUACGUGAGAAGAGCAGGGCUGGGAACUACCUCUUACGUGUUAUCUUCCAAGUGACAUUAUCAGUUCACAGCACAAUAUAGGCAUUGCCUCUGAGGCUCAUUGCUAUGCAUUUCUUUCCCUAUUCUCUACUUCUUGUGUGAAGAUUUUCUUCUCUCAGGGCACACAUGAGCACGGUGGUUUCCUGUUACAGAAUGUUCUCCCAGCCUAACAUGGAAAAAGCUCGUAGAUGUAUGCCACUUUCUUUGCUUUGUGGUUUCUCAAGAUAUUUUUUGAAGCAAGGCCUGACUUACAACAUUUUAUAAAUAACUAAUGGGAAUUUUGGCAAACUCAUAAGAAUCAUUUCUUGAAUUUCUAAACAUAAGUGGUUUUUAGUUGCUUUUCCUCAGGUGGUUAGAGAGUGGCCUUUUGGUUAAAAAAAAAAAAUUCACUGCAGUGUUUGAACCUGGCAAUGAUGAAGUGACAGUCGCAAACAUAAUUUUCACAUUGGCUAAAAAUUUUCAAGUUGAGAAAAAGAAUUCUUUAGGCAAUAUGCAGUCUGAUCUUAGCCAGGUACCUAACACACAUGUGCAUUUAUUCAUUCAUCCAUUUAUUCAUCACACACCAAAUAUAUUCAGUGUCUACUGCUCUACAUGUUAGGCAUACAGUGGUCAAGAAGACAGAGGAGAACCCUUGGGGGUUACAUUUCAAUAUGGGGCAAUUAUUGGUGGCUACAAGUAGGUUCGUGCAAUUAUUGGUGGUAGGAUUUGAGCUGGCCUGAACCACAAUAUUCAGACACUACCCCUUCUGUCUGCCCCUCUCACUAUCCCAAGGGAGAAGGGAUUCCAAAAUCUCAACACUUCACUUUCCUGUAUUAAGCUGUGAAUGCAAACAAUUGUUCUAGUCAUUCAAUGUCUUCUGAGGAAAAACAAUUCAGUGCAGAAUCUAACAUACACCAUGUCUAUCAUGUAAAAUUUAUGCCACAGAAAAUUAGUAUGUGCUGAGAAUAAAAAACCUAACUUUUAUUAUUUCUCUUUUUUCCUUUAUGACCUGGGCAAUAUAAUUUGAUGAAUCAAAAUUUGGCCAGAGUUGUAUAGGCAUGCAAUUGUGAACACCUUUCUUGGUCCUUAGUGUCCUACAUGAAAGAAAAGAAACACACACACAAACCUGUAGAUGAAAACUUUACAGCCAUGUGCUCUAGACACACAAAUGUCUAGGCGGUAGUAUUUUUACUAGAUCCUCAAAAAGUAAUAUUUUUACAAAGAAAGAGACAAUGAGUAAAGACAUUGUAAAAAGAGAACUAAUCAUGAGCAAGGCACAAAUUGAAAAAUGAAGGAUACAAGGAGAUUGGGGAAAUUAGUACAGAAGGUCCUCAACUUAAGAUGGCUCGAUCUGAUAUUUCAACUUUAUGAUGGUGUCAAAGAAAUAUGCAUUCAGCAUUCUCCUACACUUAUGAGACUACAUCCCAAUAAGCUUAUUUUAAGUUGAACAUAUGGUAAAUGGAAAAUGCUGUUUUGAUUUGUAAUAUUUUCAAUUUACCAUGGGUUUAUCAGGAUGUAACCCCAUCAUAAGUCAAGAAGCAUCUGUAUUUAAAAGUGAUUUUGUGUUUAGAAUUUAUCCUCUAAAACCCUAUAGAAAGCUCUUAGGCAGAAUGGCAUGAUCAUAUCUGCUCUUUGAUGGCCCUUGAAAAAAGAGAAGAGGGAAGAAAUUGGAAGCAUAAACACCAUUGGAGCUGAGUGAUGCUGAAGAUUUAAUCUGGGGUACUGGCGGGGGGGAAUAUUGAUCAGGAAUGAAGUGAAGAGUGGGAACAGCUGACAUAGGGUACACCUCAACCUCAUGAAUGCUUGGAUUGGGAGUAGCAGAAGCAGAAGUUCACUCACUAGUGUCCUGAAGUUCUUUCACAUCAUCUGAAGCUUUUUAAAAACAUGCAUUAUGCACUUACUAUGUGCCAGGCAUUGUGUGAUGUGUUUUACAGGCAUUAGCCCACUCCUUACAUCCACCGUGUCUUGACUUGCAUUCAAGUGUGUGGGUGGGGAGAGUGGCUGAUUCAUCUUGCACUUUCUCAUAGAAGCACAGUCCUUCUAGUCUCUGUUUUAAAAGGCUACAUAUGACUGCACUGGGAAGGCAUCAAAUGACUACAGUACAAACAAAGUAUUUAAUGAAUGAAAUUGUGUCUACAAUUCUCAAAAGUUUGGCAGUUUUUGGCAAAAAAUAGAGGAUGCUAUGGAAAGAAGAGAGAGGAAUCAAGGAUUCUCUGUUUCAAGCCUAAGUAAGUGGAAGAAGGGCACCAUUGUGUAAAUAACUCAGGAGAACCUGAUUUGAUGUGGUAGUAUGUGUUUGUCUUUUUGCAUGAGUUUGAAGUGCUAGGUUAACAGGGGGCUCGCAGGGGAGCUGAUAUAAGAGCUGUAGGUUUAUACGGAUAUCAGGUAACUUCUUAGGGCUUUGAAUAUUUAAGGAGGUGAAAAACAAGAUGAUUCUAGGCACAAAGAAGGGAAAGCAUUUUAUUUUGGAGAUGAUACUAAAGGGGCUGAUCAGAGCAAAGUCAGUUGUCAAGACUUCAAUCUGGAGUCCAGGAAUGGAGAUGGAGACAAAAGGGAAGCCCGUAGUCAAAGUCAGAUUUGGCAAAACAGAAUUGGGAUCCAAGAUAAAAACAGUCUUAAGAUGGGAAUAAAGAAAAAGUAAUGAUUACCAGGAGCCCCCAGACACACACUGCAUGGAACAGAAGAUCUUGCUGCUUUUCAUUUGCUGAAGAAGCACCAGCCAUUUCUUCGGGAAACUCUUUAUGAUUUUGCCUCCUCGAGAAUUUUACCUGCCUUUUCAGUUAAGCAUCAAGAUUUAUCACACUGACUUCUGGCUAGGGAUGAAUAAGAUGUAACUUGCUGAAUACCACAAAUGAGAGACCUGGAAGCUACUAUGAGCCAUGAAAUUCCCAAAGGCCAUCACUGGUGAAAUACUGGUCGGGCUUCUGGGAAAGGUGAAUAAGAGCAUCAUGGCAAGAUGUCAGCAGUAAAGCAGAGUGGAGACUGAAGCUAAAUUGUUCCCAACUCAGGCGUUCUCUGCUCAUAGAACAAUAGCAGUGGCUAAGGUACAUGAUUGAGUGCUAACUCUAUGCCAACUCUUUUCAUGAAUUAACUCUGACAAAGCCCUGUCAAGUAGACUCCUCUACCCUCCUCAGUACAGGUCCUAUAAGUAAGGAAACUAAGCACAGAAAGCUUAAGUGACUUCUCAAAUCCCACAGCUAGUAAGGAUAGAGCCGGAAUUUGCAUCAAGACACUCUUACUUGGAAGUCUUAGCACUUGGGGUUACUAUGACGACUGCCAAACAGCCAUGACCUCCCAGGCAAGUGACUGCUAAUGUCUAGCUGGACAGCUAGGGAAGAAGCCAAGGAAGGGAUUGACAGGGAGAAUCUAAAAUACACAUAAUUUUCAUAGGGUGUUAGAAUUAGUGCCCAUUUUAAGAAGCAGAUGUUCUGCUUUUCAUCCAAUUUGAACCUUACAGUUUCACAGUGUUUCAAACCAGGCAAUCCCAUACGAAUGCCUCAGCAAUCUUUGCACUACGUAUUCUGAAAAACUGAACAUACAAGACCCAGUCAUCAGGUGAUCAUUAUGAAGAGACAUGUUCUACAGUGAAAAGAAAAAUCUUUUCAGUAUCUUAUUGUCUUAAUUGACCUUUUGUUAACAUGAAAUGAAUUGUACAUGUGACUUGUUUAAAAUCAUUUAUUAUUAUCAGGAGUGCCUUUUAGGUGGACCGCUCUGUAUGACUCUCAUGC
rnacentral:lncRNA from 10 species